rnacentral:rRNA from 1 species
GUCCAGACUCCUACGGGAGGCAGCAGUGGGGAAUAUUGCACAAUGGGGGAAACCCUGAUGCAGCGACGCCGCGUGAGCGAUGAAGUAUUUCGGUAUGUAAAGCUCUAUCAGCAGGGAAGAAGAUGACGGUACCUGACUAAGAAGCCCCGGCUAACUACGUGCCAGCAGCCGCGGUAAUACGUAGGUGGCAAGCGUUGCCCGGAAUUACUGGGUGUAAAGGGAGCGCAGGCGGGAAGCCAAGUCAGCUGUGAAAACUACGGGCUUAACUUGUAGACUGCAGUUGGAACUGGUUUUCUUGAGUGAAGUAGAGGUUGGCGGAAUUCCGAGUGUAGCGGUGAAAUGCGUAGAUAUUCGGAGGAACACCGGUGGCGAAGGCGGCCAACUGGGCUUUAACUGACGCUGAGGCUCGAAAGUGUGGGGAGCAAACAGGAUUAGAUACCCCUGUAAAC